AUGGCAGCAAAGCAUGCUGAGUCCAUGAAACUGUUACGGCUUUCAGUAAUCGCAACAAAUGAAACUGAGAAGAAACACGAAGAACUUGCUCACCUAAAGACAGAACUAAAUAGGAUAAAAUUGCUACUGAUUGAGUUGGAGGAUGUCUGGAGAAAGUUCCGAAUGUAUCAGGAUUUCCUAAUUCAGAUAGCGCCAAUUAUGUGGAGGAAAGAGAAUGACAAGCACUAUAAUGCACUAGCAACAAACCCAUUCCUUGACACACCAUCACGUCAAAUGCUGACAGGUGUAGACAAGUAUGACCUUCUAAUGAAUGGCAGCAUCGAAUGUCUAGAGGAACUCAUGAUUUUAUUUCUGAGGGAUUUUCAAGAUAUUAAUAAACCGAUCUUGUAUUUCAAAAAGCCAGAGCAAAUUAAGGAGAUCUUCCAUGAGUUGGAGUUGAAAAACCUCAAUUCAUUGCUGCACUUACGAGAGUUACAAGAGCCAGAGCAGAUCAUGAAGACAGGACUAGAAAUAUCAAGCAAAUACUACUCCAGAGAAUCACAGAAUAUUGCUAACAGACUUGCAGCUCUGGAGCAGGAAGUACAAGAGGAACAUCAACGUAAAGAAAAGCUUAAACGUAAAGUUGAAACACUUCUCGAAGGAGUGCUGCGCCGGUUGCUCGCCUCUAAAGAAAUUCUGUGCCUUCAGGUGUUCAUUGAGGAUGUGUACACAACAUGUGUCGGACCGGUUGACUGGCGUAUGUCAGUACUAAAUAUGAUGCAGACAAUUGAGCACCAUAUUCAGCGUCAAUGCAUGCUGCUUGAUUCAUAUCCGCCAAAAAUUGUGAGCGAUGCAACCAAACAGGAGCAAAAGGCAACAGAACAGGCACGGCGUAUAGCGUUGGAGGCCCGUCGUAAAGUUUUAGACUUGGACUCCCUUCUAAAGGCUAUGAAACGGCUGUUAAAGCGAGUUACUGUUAGACCAAGUCGCAUGAUCAAGUUUCGGUCACACCUCCCACAGAAGAUGCGAAAAGCGGCCCCCGUGCAAUCGAAAGAGACAAAGCAGCAGGAUGAGGACAAGUAUUUUUUUACUCAAGUUGAAGGAGAAGCGCUGCACUAUAACUCUCUCUCGAGAACAACUAUGUAG
rnacentral:lncRNA from 1 species